AGAGUUUGAUCCUGGCUCAGGAUGAACGCUAGCGGCAGGCCUAAUACAUGCAAGUCGAACGGUCAGUAGCAAUACUGAUAGUGGCGCACGGGUGCGUAACGCGUAACCAACCUACCCGAAUCUGGGGGAUAGCCCGCCGAAAGGCGGAUUAAUACCGCAUAAAACUGCAGGACGGCAUCGUGUAACAGUUAAAGAUUUAUUGGAUUCGGAUGGGGUUGCGUGCCAUUAGCUAGUUGGGGAGGUAACGGCUCACCAAGGCGACGAUGGCUAGGGGAGCUGAGAGGCUGGUCCCCCACACGGGCACUGAGAUACGGGCCCGACUCCUACGGGAGGCAGCAGUAGGGAAUAUUGGGCAAUGGCCGAGAGGCUGACCCAGCCAUGCCGCGUGCAGGAUGAAGGCUUUCUGAGUCGUAAACUGCUUUUGCCAGGGAAGAAAAAAGCGGAUGCGUCCGCUACUGACGGUACCUGGUGAAUAAGCACCGGCUAACUCCGUGCCAGCAGCCGCGGUAAUACGGAGGGUGCAAGCGUUGUCCGGAUUUAUUGGGUUUAAAGGGUGCGUAGGCGGUCUUUAAGUCCGGGGUGAAAGCCCACUGCUCAACAG
rnacentral:rRNA from 1 species